UAGUGACAAGCAAAGAGAAAAAGUAUUUAUAGUAAUGAAUCAAAGAGAGUUUGCGGUGGUGAAAGCAAAUAUUCAACUAUAAAGAAGUCCGUCUCUAUUCUAUGCGUUUGACGAAAUAAGCCAAACCGGUGGCAGCCGUUAUCUGCACUACAAGGGCAGCAUCAUGCUGAACUUGGGUGGUACCGCGAAAUUCAAGUCAUUUCGUCCCAAGA
rnacentral:ncRNA from 1 species